UUUAUUAUUAAGAAACCAAGUAAGAUAAGGGUAGAAGCUGGGGUGGUGCUUUUUUUAUAGUGCUGUACGUGAUUUUAUUGUGUUAAUUACCUAUCCAUACUAUCGAGGAGAGACAGCGGAGCAUACUAUAUAUAAAUACUGAGAAUUAACUCCAAAUCUGUUAAAUCUGUUUCUGAAGAAACAUACGAUGGAGUGGCAGGGUGGUGGUGAUGCAGGUAGCGAAGCUCGUUUACCUCAAAUUAUUGAACCAAAUGAAGGUAGCCAACAGAAAUCGCCAAAAACUAGAUUAGUAAAUUUAUUGGAUGAAGUUGAAAUGCAUGUCGAACGGCUACGAAGAGAUGCAAUGAAACUGGAAGAAGAGAAAGACAGACUUCUAGCUACCCUGGACUCCCUUCGGAAUUCGGAAAUUAUGAUAGAUCUAGGAGAUAGUGAACGUGAUGAUGUGCUGCACUCUGUGGAACACAUUGCUAACCGCUGUUUGACAGUAGACAUUCUAGUGAAGACAACGCGUGAUAAUACACAAGAAGAUGCAUUGCACCAGGUCAACAGUUUCAUUGAUGGUUUGGUGAAGAGUCUGCAGAGUGACCCAGAUGGAACCAAAACACGAUGUCUUGCCUUUAUGAAUGCCUGCUCCCCACAUACUCAUGGUACUGCUGAUAAAAAUUUUGAGGCUGCCAUCUUGGGUUGUACAUUAGAUGACCAGAAACGGGUCAAGAAACGUCUACAAGGACUUCUGGACUAUAUAGAUGAAGCAACACGUUUUGGUUAGAAUAGGGCUCCCUCCCCCCUCCAGGAAUGGUGUUUGAGAAAUGUUAUGUCUCCUUGUCUCCUUAGGCAUCAUGUAAAAAUGUCAGCACUUCCCAUAGACAUGAUUACAGAUUUUUGAUUUCCAUUCAGCAUAUGACACACAUGCUGGAAACAGUGCUUGUGAUGAGACUGACUGCCCUGCUGCUCAGCCUAUAUUUGUGACAACAUUUAACAUCUAGCAGCAGCUUCAGUGAUGUUUGUUACUGAACACACACCUUGUGUAUUUUUAAGAUUCAAGCAUUGUAAUGUGGUUAUAUAAGUAAAUUACUUUUAAAAUUAAAAAUUGUAGGUGUAUCUUUACUGCAGUAUAUCUACCAGUAACAGUCUUACAAAAUAAUGGGCCUAUUUGGUAUGAAACUUCAUCUGUUACCAAUGUUCUCGUGACAUUUGUGUCUCUCCCCCCAUUUGGACCCAACAGAGACAUUAACACAAAGUAAAGUAUAGUAUUUAAAAUUGGAAGCCAUGCUGUUUUGUUAUUUAAAUGAGGAAUGUCCAACUUUCCACACAGCAGUUAGUUUUGUGUGGCCUAUGACAGUAGCCUUUCCUUCCUCACAUUUAUGAGCUGUGGUUUCCCUUCUUUUUAAGAAUAACAGCAAAACUUGUUUAAAAACUGUAUGUGGAGUGAAGUUUUUCAGUGAACUUCACAUGACACAAUAACACAGAAAAGUAGGAAAUUGGUAUGAUUCCAUGAACAUAUGCAGUAUCAGUGAAAUCUAGCAAAUCUUCACAGCUAAUUUUUAAGUUCUGUUAACCUGGGAGAUAUUUAUAUCAGAAUAUUGUAAAAUUAUAUUCUUUAUGAUACAUUCUGUGGUUAAUUAAGGUAUAAUGGUUUACAGUUGGAUAGCCCUGAUUUAAACUGAAAUAACCUGUCUCUGAAUGUGAAUUUGCUAGAGAAAUGCAAAUGUUAUUCCAAAUACUAGAGCAUUUCUAACUUCAUGUGGGUACUCAGUAGCGUAGUUGGUUGAGGGACUGCUACAGGCUCGAAGGUCAUGGGUUCAAUUUCCUAUGAGUCACUGGAUUU